UUGUUUACAAUGCUAACAAGAUCAAAACUUUGAAGGGUCGAAUGGAGGUACGUACUAGAACAGAGAAAACUGUUUCUCAUGCAUUGCGAUCUCCAUUCGCUGACAGACCGGUUAAGAUUACAAACAAGCUCAGUAAAGAUGAGAAGGAAUCAUAUUACUGGAUUCUUGUAACACAUGAAAGAGACGGAUUAGUACUUGUUUAUGACGACGAUGUUGUGAAAGUUACAAAGAUGGAAAUGUGUUCUUUGAUACCUCGGCAAUUGAUU